rnacentral:tRNA from 1 species
GCCUGGCUGGCUCAGUGGGGAGAGCCUGUGGCUCUUGAUCUCAGUGUUGUGAGUUCGAGCCCACGUUGGGUG